UUUUAAGUAGUUUAAUUAAAAUAUUGAUUUGUGGUGUCAUUGAUACUAUAUGUCUUAAAUU
rnacentral:tRNA from 1 species